rnacentral:lncRNA from 1 species
GGAAAAGGAGAAUAGGUAAUUAGAUAAUAGUAAGAUAAAUUGCAAAAUUAAUAUAAAAGUGUAAUUUAUAUAAAUAAACGUUUGACUAUCCUAAGACCAUCAUAAGACACCUCUCGUGUUGUCCUAACUUUAUGACCAACUUUUAGAGCUAUCCUAAUUUAGGACCACUUUGUGAAACCCACUUAGGACUUAGAUAUGUCG